rnacentral:rRNA from 1 species
AACGAACGCUGGCGGCAUGCCUAACACAUGCAAGUCGAACGCCCUGGUUCGCCAGGGAGUGGCGCACGGGUGAGUAACGCGUGGGAACCUGCCCGGCAGUACGGGACAACCGCGGGAAACUGCGGCUGAUACCGUAUACGGCCUGAGGGCGAAAGAAUUUCGCCGUCGGAGGGGCCCGCGUCGGAUUAGGUAGUUGGUGGGGUAACGGCCUACCAAGCCUGCGAUCCGUAGCUGGUCUGAGAGGAUGAUCAGCCACACUGGGACUGAGACACGGCCCAGACUCCUACGGGAGGCAGCAGUGGGGAAUAUUGGACAAUGGGCGCAAGCCUGAUCCAGCAAUGCCGCGUGAGUGAUGAAGGCCUUAGGGUUGUAAAGCUCUUUCGCCCGCGACGAUGAUGACGGUAGCGGGAGAAGAAGCCCCGGCUAACUCCGUGCCAGCAGCCGCGGUAAUACGGAGGGGGCUAGCGUUGUUCGGAAUUACUGGGCGUAAAGGGCGCGCA